GGAUCCAGACUUUGAUUCUGGCUCAGGAUGAACGCUAGCUACAGGCUUAACACAUGCAAGUCGAGGGGCAGCAUGACGAUAGCUUGCUAUUGUUGAUGGCGACCGGCGCACGGGUGAGUAACGCGUAUCCAACCUGCCCUUGUCCAUCGGAUAACCCGUCGAAAGGCGGCCUAACACGAUAUGCAGUCCACAGAAGGCAUCUGACGCGGACGAAAUGUAAAGGAGAAGGAUGGGGAUGCGUCUGAUUAGCUUGUUGGCGGGGUAACGGCCCACCAAGGCGACGAUCAGUAGGGGUUCUGAGAGGAAGGUCCCCCACAUUGGAACUGAGACACGGUCCAAACUCCUACGGGAGGCAGCAGUGAGGAAUAUUGGUCAAUGGGCGAGAGCCUGAACCAGCCAAGUAGCGUGCAGGACGACGGCCCUAUGGGUUGUAAACUGCUUUUAUGCGGGGAUAAAGUGAGCCACGUGUGGCUUAUUGCAGGUACCGCAUGAAUAAGGACCGGCUAAUUCCGUGCCAGCAGCCGCGGUAAUACGGAAGGUCCGGGCGUUAUCCGGAUUUAUUGGGUUUAAAGGGAGCGUAGGCCGUCUGAUAAGCGUGUUGUGAAAUGUCGGGGCUCAACCUGGGCAUUGCAGCGCGAACUGUGAGACUUGAGUGCGCGGGAAGUAGGCGGAAUUCGUCGUGUAGCGGUGAAAUGCUUAGAUAUGACGAAGAACUCCGAUUGCGAAGGCAGCCUGCUGUAGCGCAACUGACGCUGAAGCUCGAAAGCGUGGGUAUCGAACAGGAUUAGAUACCCUGGUAGUCCACGCGGUAAACGAUGGAUGCUCGCUGUUUGCGUCUGACGUAAGCGGCCAAGCGAAAGCGUUAAGCAUCCCACCUGGGGAGUACGCCGGCAACGGUGCAACUCAAA
rnacentral:rRNA from 1 species